UACGGAGGGUGCAAGCGUUAUCCGGAUUCACUGGGUUUAAAGGGUGCGUAGGUGGGUUGGUAAGUCAGUGGUGAAAUCCCCGAGCUUAACUCGGAAACUGCCAUUGAUACUAUCAAUCUUGAAUCAUCUGGAGGUAAGCGGAAUAUGUCAUGUAGCGGUGAAAUGCUUAGAUAUGACAUAGAACACCAAUUGCGAAGGCAGCUUACUACGGGUGUAUUGACACUGAGGCACGAAAGCGUGGGGAUCAAACAGG
rnacentral:rRNA from 1 species